AGCGAACGCUGGCGGCAGGCCUAACACAUGCAAGUCGAACGGCAGCACAGUAAGAGCGUGCUCUGACGGGUGGCGAGAGGGGGAAGGGAGAGGAAAAUAACGGAAUCUACACUUUCGGGGGGGAUAAGGUAGGGAAACUUACGCUAAGACCGGAGAUGACGUACGGGGGAAAGCAGGGGAAAGUUGGACCGGGCGCGAAUGAAUGAGCCGAUGACGGAUUAGCUAGUUGGCGGGGGAAAGGCCAAGGAAGGGGAGGAUCGGUAGCUGGUCUGAGAGGCUGGUCGCCCACACUGGAACUGAGACACGCUCCAGACUCCUACGGUACGCCGCAGUCUGGAAUAUUAGACAAUGGUCGCGAGCCUUAUCCAGCCAUCCCGCGUCGGUUAAGACGGCCUUCGGGUUGUAAAGCCCUUUUGUUGGUAGAGAAACGCAGCCGGUUAAUACCCCGCUGUUCUGACGGUACCCGGAGAAUAAGCACCGGCUAACUUCGUG
rnacentral:rRNA from 1 species